ACUUCCUGCACGAGGAGCCGGAGCCGCCGUGGCCGUUGGGCGCGGCGCGGCGCUCCCCGGUGCGCGGCAGCCUCCGGCCCUUCCUGCCCCGCCGCCGCGGCACCCCCGAGCCGCCGCCGCAGCCCGAGCCGCCGCCGCGCCGCGCCAGCUCCCUGGGCCGUGUCGGCCACUGAGCUUGCCCAGCCCCUCCCCCCUCCGGCCACUGACCCCCAACUCCGGCCACUGACCCCAACUCCGGCCACUGACCCCUCAUGGCCACUGACCCCUCAUGGCCACUGACCCCUCAUGGCCACUGACCCCAACUCCGGCCACUGACCCCAACUCCGGCCACUGACCCCCCAUGGCCACUGACCCCCAACUCCGGCCACUGACCCCCAACUCCGGCCACUGACCCCAACUCCGGCCACUGACCCNCAGGUGGGGGUUUAUAGUUGAUAUCUUAUAUUUGAGAUAUUUUAUUUGAUAUUGCAUAGUUUGUAUUUGAUAUUGUAUGGAGUGUAUUUGAUAUUGUACAGGUUAUAUUUUAUAGUUUGUGUUUUAUAGUUUAUAGUUUAUAUUUCAACUUUCGGCCUCUGCUGGCCCGUCCCCCAGGUGGGGGUUUACAGUUUCUAUUUGAUAUUUUAUUUUUAAAUCUUAUUUUCUAUUUUCUAGUUUAUGUUUUCUAUUGUAUAAUUUAUAGUUUGUAUUUUAUAGUUUGUAUUUCAUCUCUCGGCCUCUGCCGGCC
rnacentral:lncRNA from 1 species